AAGACUGCGUCGUCGUACGAAUAUUCCCAACAGAAAGAAUAUUCCACGACCCAACGAAUAUUCCCCGACAACAAUGAAUAUUUUAUAACCACUUGCGUAUUUUUAAAAAAUUUCAUAUAUCACCCUUAACUUUAACUUUUUAUCAAUUUAACCAUUUACUGAAUUGUAAUUAUAAGAAAAUUGAAUACUUUUAUUUCAUAAAAUUCGGG
rnacentral:lncRNA from 1 species